rnacentral:rRNA from 1 species
GACGAACGCUGGCGGCGUGCCUAAUACAUGCAAGUAGGACGCAGUUGCGAACGGGUGAGUUACGCGUAGGUAACUGCCUAUUAGAGGGGGAUAACUAUUGGAAACGAUAGCUAAUACCGCAUACUAGUAGAUGGACCUGCUUUGUAUUAGGUAGUAGGUAGGGUAAUGGCCUACCUAGGCAACGAUACCUAGCCGACCCGAGAGGGAGAACGGCCACACUGGGACUGAGACAAGGCCCAGACUGCUAACGGAGGCAGCAGUAGGGAAUCUUCGUCAAUGGGGGGAACCCUGACCGAGCAACGGCGGGGGAGUGAAGAAGGUUUUCGGAUCGUAAAGCUAUGUUGUUACGGAAGCGGUACUUAACCAGAAAGGGACGGCUAAUUACGUGCCAGCAGCCGCGGUAAUUC